UGGUUCUGUAAUGAGGGAUGGUGUUCUAGU
rnacentral:piRNA from 2 species